CGGGUGGAUUUUUUCGCAACGAACGCAUGCAAUCUUCCUAAAUAUGCAAUAGAACAUGUUUGGGAGUGUUUUUGGGCAUUCGGUUCCGGCACGAAAAACGAUGCAAAACGGGUGCAUUUCGGCACCCGAAUGCACUAUUGCCGGGUAGCGAAACUCGGGUGGAUUUUUUCGCAACGAACGCAUGCAAUCUUCCUAAUUAGACCCUAGAACAUGUUUGGGAGUGUUUUUGGGCAUUCGGUUCCGGCACGAAAAACUAUGCAAAACGGGUGCAUUUCGGCACCCGAAUGCACUAUUGUCGGGUAGGGAAACUCGGGUGGAUUUUUUCACAACAAACGCAUGCAAUCUUCCUAAUUAGACCCUAGAACAUGUUUGGGAGUGUUUUUGGGCAUUCGGUUCCGGCACGAAAAACGAUGCAAAACGGGUGCAUUUCGGCACCCGAAUGCGCUAUUGCCGGGUAGCGAAACUCGGGUGGAUUUUUUCGCAACGAACGCAUGCAAUCUUCCUAAAUAUGCACUAGAACAUGUUUGGGAGUGUUUUUGGGCAUUCGGUUCCGGCACGAAAAACGAUGCAAAACGGGUGCAUUUCGGCACCCGAAUGCACUAUUGCCGGGUAGCGAAACUCGGGUGGAUUUUUUCGCAACGAACGCAUGCAAUCUUCCUAAAUAUGCACUAGAACAUGUUUGGGAGUGUUUUUGGGCAUUCGGUUCCGGCACGAAAAAUGAUGCAAAACGGGUGAAUUUCGGCACCCGAAUACACUAUUGCGGGGUAGCGAAAGUCGGGUGGAUUUUUUUCGCAACGAACGCAUGCAAUCUUCCUAAAUACGCACUAGAACAUGUUUGGGAGUGUUUUUGGGCAUUCGGUUCCGGCACGGAAAACGAUGCAAAACGGGUGCAUUUCGGCACCCGAAUGCACUAUUGCCGGGUAGCGAAACUCGGGUGGAUUUUUUCGCAACGAACGCAUGCAAUCUUCCUAAAUAUGCACUAGAACAUGUUUGGGAGGGUUUUUGGGCAUUCGGUUCCGGCACGAAAAAUGAUGCAAAACGGGUGCAUUUCGGCACCCGGAUGCACUAUUAUCGGGUAGAGAAAGUCGGGUGGAUUUUUUUCGCAACGAAUGCAUGCAAUCUUCCUAAAUAUGUACUAGAACAUGUUCGGGAGUGUUUUUGGGCAUUCGGUUCCGGCACGAAAAACGAUGCAAAACGGGUGCAUUUCGGCACCCGAAUGCACUAUUGCUGGGUAGCGAAAGUCGGGUGGAUUUUUUCGCAACGAACGCAUGCAAUCUUCCUAAAUAUGCAAUAGAACAUGUUUGGGAGUGUUUUUGGGCAUUCGGUUCCGGCACGAAAAACGAUGCAAAACGGGUGCAUUUCGGCACCCGAAUGCACUAUUGCCGGGUAGCGAAACUCGGGUGGAUUUUUUCGCAACGAACGCAUGCAAUCUUCCUAAUUAGACCCUAGAACAUGUUUGGGAGUGUUUUUGGGCAUUCGGUUCCGGCACGAAAAACUAUGCAAAACGGGUGCAUUUCGGCACCCGAAUGCACUAUUGUCGGGUAGGGAAACUCGGGUGGAUUUUUUCACAACAAACGCAUGCAAUCUUCCUAAUUAGACCCUAGAACAUGUUUGGGAGUGUUUUUGGGCAUUCGGUUCCGGCACGAAAAACGAUGCAAAACGGGUGCAUUUCGGCACCCGAAUGCGCUAUUGCCGGGUAGCGAAACUCGGGUGGAUUUUUUCGCAACGAACGCAUGCAAUCUUCCUAAAUAUGCACUAGAACAUGUUUGGGAGUGUUUUUGGGCAUUCGGUUCCGGCACGAAAAACGAUGCAAAACGGGUGCAUUUCGGCACCCGAAUGCACUAUUGCCGGGUAGCGAAACUCGGGUGGAUUUUUUCGCAACGAACGCAUGCAAUCUUCCUAAAUAUGCACUAGAACAUGUUUGGGAGUGUUUUUGGGCAUUCGGUUCCGGCACGAAAAAUGAUGCAAAACGGGUGAAUUUCGGCACCCGAAUACACUAUUGCGGGGUAGCGAAAGUCGGGUGGAUUUUUUUCGCAACGAACGCAUGCAAUCUUCCUAAAUACGCACUAGAACAUGUUUGGGAGUGUUUUUGGGCAUUCGGUUCCGGCACGGAAAACGAUGCAAAACGGGUGCAUUUCGGCACCCGAAUGCACUAUUGCCGGGUAGCGAAACUCGGGUGGAUUUUUUCGCAACGAACGCAUGCAAUCUUCCUAAAUAUGCACUAGAACAUGUUUGGGAGGGUUUUUGGGCAUUCGGUUCCGGCACGAAAAAUGAUGCAAAACGGGUGCAUUUCGGCACCCGGAUGCACUAUUAUCGGGUAGAGAAAGUCGGGUGGAUUUUUUCGCAACGAAUGCAUGCAAUCUUCCUAAAUAUGUACUAGAACAUGUUCGGGAGUGUUUUUGGGCAUUCGGUUCCGGCACGAAAAACGAUGCAAAACGGGUGCAUUUCGGCACCCGAAUGCACUAUUGCUGGGUAGCGAAAGUCGGGUGGAUUUUUUCGCAACGAACGCAUGCAAUCUUCCUAAAUAUGCAAUAGAACAUGUUUGGGAGUGUUUUUGGGCAUUCGGUUCCGGCACGAAAAACGAUGCAAAACGGGUGCAUUUCGGCACCCGAAUGCACUAUUGCCGGGUAGCGAAACUCGGGUGGAUUUUUUCGCAACGAACGCAUGCAAUCUUCCUAAUUAGACCCUAGAACAUGUUUGGGAGUGUUUUUGGGCAUUCGGUUCCGGCACGAAAAACUAUGCAAAACGGGUGCAUUUCGGCACCCGAAUGCACUAUUGUCGGGUAGGGAAACUCGGGUGGAUUUUUUCACAACAAACGCAUGCAAUCUUCCUAAUUAGACCCUAGAACAUGUUUGGGAGUGUUUUUGGGCAUUCGGUUCCGGCACGAAAAACGAUGCAAAACGGGUGCAUUUCGGCACCCGAAUGCGCUAUUGCCGGGUAGCGAAACUCGGGUGGAUUUUUUCGCAACGAACGCAUGCAAUCUUCCUAAAUAUGCACUAGAACAUGUUUGGGAGUGUUUUUGGGCAUUCGGUUCCGGCACGAAAAACGAUGCAAAACGGGUGCAUUUCGGCACCCGAAUGCACUAUUGCCGGGUAGCGAAACUCGGGUGGAUUUUUUCGCAACGAACGCAUGCAAUCUUCCUAAAUAUGCACUAGAACAUGUUUGGGAGUGUUUUUGGGCAUUCGGUUCCGGCACGAAAAAUGAUGCAAAACGGGUGAAUUUCGGCACCCGAAUACACUAUUGCGGGGUAGCGAAAGUCGGGUGGAUUUUUUUCGCAACGAACGCAUGCAAUCUUCCUAAAUACGCACUAGAACAUGUUUGGGAGUGUUUUUGGGCAUUCGGUUCCGGCACGAAAAACGAUGCAAAACGGGUGCAUUUCGGCACCCGAAUGCACUAUUGCCGGGUAGCGAAACUCGGGUGGAUUUUUUCGCAACGAACGCAUGCAAUCUUCCUAAAUAUGCACUAGAACAUGUUUGGGAGUGUUUUUGGGCAUUCGGUUCCGGCACGAAAACGAUGCAAAACGGGUGCAUUUCGGCACCCGAAUGCACUAUUGCCGGGUAGCGAAACUCGGGUGGAUUUUUUCGCAACGAACGCAUGCAAUCUUCCUAAAUAUGCACUAGAACAUGUUUGGGAGUGUUUUUGGGCAUUCGGUUCCGGCACGAAAAAUGAUGCAAAACGGGUGCAUUUCGGCACCCGAAUGCACUAUUGCCGGGUAGCGAAACUCGGGUGGAUUUUUUCGCAACGAACGCAUGCAAUCUUCCUAAAUAUGCACUAGAACAUGUUUGGGAGUGUUUUUGGGCAUUCGGUUCCGGCACGAAAAAUGAUGCAAAACGGGUGCAUUUCGGCACCCGAAUGCACUAUUAUCGGGUAGAGAAAGUCGGGUGGAUUUUUUCGCAACGAACGCAUGCAAUCUUCCUAAAUAUGCACUAGAACAUGUUUGGGAGUGUUUUUGGGCAUUCGGUUCCGGCACGAAAAAUGAUGCAAAACGGGUGCAUUUCGGCACCCGAAUGCACUAUUGCCGGGUAGCGAAACUCGGGUGGAUUUUUUCGCAACGAACGCAUGCAAUCUUCCUAAAUAUGCACUAGAACAUGUUUGGGAGUGUUUUUGGGCAUUCGGUUCCGGCACGAAAAACGAUGCAAAACGGGUGCAUUUCGGCACCCGAAUGCACUAUUGUCGGGUAGAGAAAGUCGGGUGGAUUUUUUCGCAACGAACUCAUGCAAUCUUCGUAAAUAUGCACUAGAACAUGUUUGGGAGUGUUUUUGGGCAUUCGGUUCCGGCACGAAAAACGAUGCAAAACGGGUGCAUUUCGGCACCCGAAUGCACUAUUGCCGGGUAGGGAAACUCGGGUGGAUUUUUUCACAACAAACGCAUGCAAUCUUCCUAAAUACGCACUAGAACAUGUUUGGGAGUGUUUUUGGGCAUUCGGUUCCGGCACGAAAAAUGAUGCAAAAUGGGUGCAUUUCGGGACCCGAAUGCACUAUUGCCGGGUAGCGAAACUCGGGUGGAUUUUUUCGCAACGAACGCAUGCAAUCUUCCUAAAUAUGCACUAGAACAUGUUUGGGAGUGUUUUUGGGCAUUCGGUUCCGGCACGAAAAACGAUGCAAAACGGGUGC
rnacentral:lncRNA from 1 species